rnacentral:misc_RNA from 1 species
UCCUGGUUAACCCAGGCAGUCUCAUUAGAGUGCCCAUCUUAAAUGCUGGCAACUAAUGAUAAGGGUUGCGCUCGUUGCGGGACUUAACCCAACACCUCACGGCACGAGCUGACGACAGCCAUGCAGCACCUGUGCAGCGGUCCCGAAGGAAGGAUCCAUUUCUGGAUCUGUCCACUGCAUGUCAAGUCUAGGUAAGGUUCUUCGCGUUGCAUCGAAUUAAACCACAUGCUCCACUGCUUGUGCGGGUCCCCGUCAAUUCUUUUGAGUUUCACCCUUGCGAGCGUACUCCCCAGGCGGUAUACUUAUCACGUUAGCUUCGGCACAGUCGGGGUUGAGUCCAACUACACCAAGUAUACAUCGUUUACGGCAAGGACUAC